ACACGUAGGGGCCUGACGUUGUUCGGAAUCAUUGGGCGUAAAGGGCGCGCAGGCGGCCGUCCAAGUCCGGUGUUAAAUGGUCGGGCUCAACCCGAUCAUGCGCUGGAAACUGGGCGGCUUGAGUCCCGUAGGGGAUGCCGGAAUUCCAGGUGUAGGGGUGAAAUCUGUAGAUAUCUGGAAGAACACCGAUGGCGAAGGCAGGCAUCUGGCCGGAGACUGACGCUGAGGCGCGAAGGCGCGGGGAGCGAACAGGGUUAGAUACCCUGGUAGUCCGCGCAGUAAACGAUGCGCACCAGGUGUCGGGCGGCAGCGCCCGGUACCGGAGCUAACGCGAUGAGUGCGCCGCCUGGGGAGUAUGCCCGCAAGGGUGAAACUCAAAUGAAUUGACGGGG
rnacentral:rRNA from 1 species